UACGAGGGGGGCAAGCGUUGUUCGGAAUUAUUGGGCGUAAAGGGCGCGUAGGCGGUUUUGUAAGUCGUGUGUGAAAUCUUCGGGCUCAACCCGAAGCCUGCACACGAAACUGCAGGGCUUGAGUAUGGGAGAGGUGAGUGGAAUUCCUGGUGUAGCGGUGAAAUGCGUAGAUAUCAGGAGGAACACCUGUGGCGAAAGCGGCUCACUGGACCAUUACUGACGCUGAGGCUCGAAAGCUAGGGGAGCGAACAGG
rnacentral:rRNA from 1 species